rnacentral:misc_RNA from 1 species
AUACAGUAACCAUUUGCUACGAACCUGAUAACACAAUGAACUGGCAAAGAAAAAUGCUCAGUUCAAUUAUUUUUAUUUUAUAUUUAGGCGUCUCUUUCGGAUUAGACGUCUGUAUUAAACAUGUUAUUUAAAAAACAACACAAGUUUAUAUUAAUAAAUUUCUCAUUAAUUUCUUUUUUUCUUUGUUUUUCUCCUUCUUUAGGAUCCUUUGUUUAAUAAAAAGAAGUAUUUGGAGCUGUCAGUUGUUUGCGAUAAAGGAUGUGUAAGCGUCUAAUUUACUUCCUUAAUCCUUUAAUAAUUACAUAAAGUUUCGUUGAUUUCCUUAUAGUAUUCGCUUUUAGUGAGGGGAGGACAAGAUCCUGUUCAACAUAUGUACAAACUAAUUAGCGAAACUGAAAAGGCAAAUAGUUUAAAUUGUCGCUAUUUAAUCGUGAAAUAGAAUGAUUGUUUAUAGAUAAUGGCUCAAUUAAAUGUUCAAUUGAUUGUUACGGAUAUUGAAAUUUGGAAUGCGAAAAAUAUGAUUCCUUUUAAUGCUGAUCUUAAGACUUAUAUGUUAGGAAUGAGAGAUUAUAGGGAAGAGUCCUUGAACUUGAAAAGAUGGUCCGACGCUACCUUGCUUGUUACGUAAUGAAUUUUUAUUUAUUUAUCUAAUUUUGUAGCGAUUUAAUGAAUUUUCUUUUCUUUUAAGAGGAUACAUCUUCCGAUCGGAGCUUGGAUGGUAUAUGUUCGACGCUGUCUGCAGCAAGGGAGACGCAGUUGGAGUUGUUAGACUAAGAGGCUCUAGAUUAUCAAAACUCGAAGCUGUUCUUACUGCUCACGAACUUGGUCAUGGACUUGGUCUAAAUCACGACGAAACUGGUAAAGACUGCUGCGAAUCCGGAGAUGGAAACUGUGUUAUGGCUCCUAUAGUGAGAAGUUCAAAUGCAAAAUUCGGUAGAUGCAGUAUCGAAAGAUUUGCCUAUCAUAUAAGACAACCAUAUAGAACUUGCCUAUUUGAUAAACCAACUUAUGCUAUGAACGUUAAUCGACCAAAUAAGUGCGGAAAUGGUGUUGUAGAUGAGAAUGAAGAAUGUGAUUGCGGAGCUAGUAAUCUUAAUAAUUGCGCUACAUGCUGCGAUAUGACGACGUGCAAACUUUCCACCGGAAGUGCCUGUUACGAAGGAGAUUGUUGCGAUACAUCUACUUGUCAAUUUCAACCAUCUACGCAUACCUGUAAACAGUCGGUUGGAGAUUGCGAUAUUGCAGAUAAAUGUUCCGGUUCUUCUGCACAGUGUAUCGAUACUUUUAAAUCGAAUGGUCAUGAUUGUUCCGAUAAACAGGGAGAGAAAGGUUAUUGCCUUAGCGGAAUUUGUUCUACAAAGACGAUGGCGUGUCAAGCAGCUUGGAAUUCUGAUUAUAAGGCGGCACAUGACUCUUGCUACAGAACAUCAUUAAACUGGGCUAGUGAAAUGAGUCAUUGCGGUAGUCCGCAAAGCGACGUCUAUUCAAAGUGUACAACUGGAACGGAAAACAAUUUUCAAUGCGGUUUGCUUCAAUGCGAUUCUGAUAACACAAACUACGUCCUAGAAAUACAAGGUUCUCAACGCGCUCAAUCAUAUCGUGCUGGUGACAAAAGAUGCUUAUUUAUACAACAUGGUGGCUGGGAUAUGGAAGUUGGUAAAGGUUCUGGACCCUAUAUGGUUCCUGAUGGUACUAAAUGUGGUGACGGAAAGGCUUGCUAUAAACAAGCUUGUUUGGAUAAGAGUCAGGCCUAUGAUAUGAUUAAAAGUGCUAAGGAACAGAAUACCGCCUCUACUUCCAUUUGCGGUAAUGGCGUAAAAGAGGAUGGGGAAGAAUGUGACUGUGGCGCAACACAAUGUGGUUGCUGCAAUCAAAGAACAUGUAAACUUGAAAAAGUUGGUUCAAAAUGUCUAACGAAUGAUUGUAAAGUUUGUGAUGGAGCUUCAAUCCAUUGUCCAAGUGCAGCAAAUUACAACAGAGCAAACUUCGAAAAAUGUGAUUCUGAAAAUGGCCAAUGCUUUAAAGGUCUUUGUAGGUCAUUGAGACAAACUUGUAAGAAAUAUUUUGGAGAAUCAGCCGAACCUGAUCUCCAACAGAUCAAGAGAAAUGCAUUGCCUGGUAAUUAUCUGUUCAAUGGCGGAGGAUUUUUGAUAUUAAGUUCAGCUGGAAAAGUUUACAGAUAUUACGAAUUUAAGCCAACAAAUGGAGAUGGAGUUUGCGGUGUUGUUCAUUGUAUUUUACCAUACGGUACUAACCCGAAAAUAAGUAAUUACCCAACAAGAGGAUAUACUUCAAGGCGAUCAUCAAGUUAUCCAACAAAGAUGGCUUACUUUUCGAAUUUAUCACCAUUUUCUAUUCGAGGAGUGUCUCAUAGAAUCUACUACCCUCUUAUGAAUGAAAUGGGAGCACCAUGCAAAACGAAUACUGGAGCAAGUGGAUAUUGUUGGCCUUGGUUUAGACGACUUGAUACUAUGUCUAGGAUUGUUAAAUACUACUAUUCUGAAUGCUUACCUAUUUAAGUAAAGAAAAAUUACUUAAUAGAAUUCGGAAUCAAUUUAAAAUUGUAUAUAUAGUAUAAUGGUUAUUGGACGCACUACUGUAUAUGUUCUAUAUAAACAUACAUAAAAAAUGAAAGAUCUCUCCAUGUUCAGUGAAUAAAAUGAUGUCAAAAUGUUAAUUAAACUGGAAUUACGUAAUCAUUUUCACAGAUUUCAACUACGAAAAAUUAUUAUUUAAAUAAUCUUUCAACUAAAAUGAAGAAAUAAUUAACCUUUGAUUUAUGUUAUAGAAGCGAUUAUCUCUAUCUUUCUUUUCUUUCUCCUUGAGUUUGUUCUCUUUUAUUACGCAUGUAAGAAAAAAGUGUCCUUAAAUUAAAACUAUAUUAAAGGACAUGUUAUAGCAUGCCAUUCAAGGACUAGUUGGCUUAUUUCAAAUUAGUUAGAAAUCUCAUGCAGAAAAAAGCCCCCUCAGCAUUUUUUAUUUAGGAUUAAAAUGCUAUUAUCAUUAAGAAUGUCAAUGUUGAAGGGCAAUAGAAGAUAUAUUAGAUAGUAAACAAUAUUUGAAAAGCACAAACAAAUUGAAAACUGAUCAUUUAACGGGAUACUUGACAUAAUUAUUUGACUAGUCCUAUAGGACAGACAGUAAAAGUUAAAAUAUACAUUAAUAAUAUAUUCUAUUGACGUUUAUGGUUUAUGCAAAUUACGAAGAUUAUUAGAAAAUUCUUAUUAAAU